AUUGAACGCUGGCGGCAUGCCUUACACAUGCAAGUCGAACGGUAACAGGUUAAGCUGACGAGUGGCGAACGGGUGAGUAAUGUAUCGGAACGUGCCCAGUCGUGGGGGAUAACUGCUCGAAAGAGCAGCUAAUACCGCAUACGACCUGAGGGUGAAAGCGGGGGAUCGCAAGACCUCGCGCGAUUGGAGCGGCCGAUAUCAGAUUAGGUAGUUGGUGAGGUAAAGGCUCACCAAGCCGACGAUCUGUAGCUGGUCUGAGAGGACGACCAGCCACACUGGGACUGAGACACGGCCCAGACUCCUACGGGAGGCAGCAGUGGGGAAUUUUGGACAAUGGGCGCAAGCCUGAUCCAGCCAUGCCGCGUGCGGGAAGAAGGCCUUCGGGUUGUAAACCGCUUUUGUCAGGAAAGAAAAGGUUCUGGCUAAUACCUGGGACUCAUGACGGUACCUGAAGAAUAAGCACCGGCUAACUACGUG
rnacentral:rRNA from 1 species